GAGGGCCUACGGGACGCAGCAGUGGGGGAUAUUGCACAAUGGGGGGAACCCUGAUGCAGCGACGCCGCGUGGGUGAAGAAGCGCCUCGGCGCGUAAAGCCCUGUCAGCAGGGAAGAAAAUGACGGUACCUGAAGAAGAAGCCCCGGCUAACUACGUGCCAGCAGCCGCGGUAAUACGUAGGGGGCAAGCGUUAUCCGGAUUUACUGGGUGUAAAGGGGGCGCAGACGGCGAUGCAAGCCAGGAGUGAAAGUCCG
rnacentral:rRNA from 1 species